GACGAACGCUGGCGGCGUGCUUAACACAUGCAAGUCGAACGAAGAGCGAUGGAAGCUUGCUUCUAUCAAUCUUAGUGGCGAACGGGUGAGUAACGCGUAAUCAACCUGCCCUUCAGAGGGGGACAACAGUUGGAAACGACUGCUAAUACCGCAUACGAUCCAAUCUCGGCAUCGAGGAUGGAUGAAAGGUGGCCUCUAUUUAUAAGCUAUCACUGAAGGAGGGGAUUGCGUCUGAUUAGCUAGUUGGAGGGGUAACGGCCCACCAAGGCGAUGAUCAGUAGCCGGUCUGAGAGGAUGAACGGCCACAUUGGGACUGAGACACGGCCCAGACUCCUACGGGAGGCAGCAGUGGGGAAUCUUCCGCAAUGGACGAAAGUCUGACGGAGCAACGCCGCGUGAGUGAGGACGGCCUUCGGGUUGUAAAGCUCUGUUAAUCGGGACGAAAGGUCCUCUUGCGAAUAGUUAGAGGAAUUGACGGUACCGGAAUAGAAAGCCACGGCUAACUACGUG
rnacentral:rRNA from 1 species